UUAUGGGGUCAGUCUCAGACUGAAAACUGUUUUUCCUCUGGGAGGGAGGCUCCAAUGCCUCUUUGCACAGACUUCCCUGUAAUCUGCUCCCAGGAGCCAUGUCGUCUGGCAAACAUUGAAGGAAAUGUCUGCAUCUGGCUUAUUAUCACCAUACUUCCUGGAGGAGUAUUAGACGUAGACCCUGGAAAAGGGGUUCUGGUGUAGACAAGGGGCACUACCCAUGGAAAAUGUGUUACCUGAGUUUGUUUCCUCCUGAUUCUAACCUGCAAAGUGUCAUCUAAGAAGUCUUAGAGUAAGAAACGUGGAUGGAGAGAAAGUUGCUUCUCACGGUAAUCCAAGCCCUGAAGGGACAGAUGAAACUGGGGAUCAAGUGACGCAACUGAGGCAUGGAGGAUGAAUCAGUAUCCCAAAGCCUUCCUCUUUCGAGAAGUUCAGAGGAAAGAUGAUAAGAGCAUCACUUGAAUAAUUAAAAAAGAAGAGAAAGCCACCUUGCUACCUACCAGAAAAAUAAUUUUCAAAUGAAGAAACACAUAUACCGAUCAUUAUCUUACAUAUAAAACAGCCACUGGAACUCAGUAUGCUAACCAGGAUGACUUCAAACUCAUGGAACUGUGGAGAGUAUAACUUGAUACAAGCAAGAACAGCAGUUUCUGACAAUAGCCUGUUCUUUUCCCCAGCACCACAAAGGGAAAGAGAUAACAAAACAGAAAGAUUUAAACAGAUGUUUCAUCCCAGUACAAUAGUACAGAAAUAUCUGUGUUCCCAAAGGCACCUCAAGGAAAAAGCUGACUGGAAGUCUAGCAUCCCAGCAUCCUUACCAUGAUGCCACCUCCUGGCAGGAUGAUAUCAGGAUAGACUAAACAGUUUAUCAUCCCUUCUGAAUAGUGAUGCGGUAUUCCCAGUGGACAUCACACGGAAAUCCAGAAUCCUCCACACACCCAGUUCGCCAGUAUAGAAGUGUCUACCAGUCACUCUGCCAGCUAGCGGGGUAGUCUGGGUAGGGCAGAGUCAGAGAAAGCCUCCCCAAGAUUAGUACUCUCAGCACUGUGUCUACUGUAUCAAGGCCAUCUGUGUCUCGGCUCAGCAGGAGAGUUGGAAACUGUGUGUCUCUUCCCUACCCCACCCUUUCCUUGCCCCACUUGAAUGUCAACAAAUGUUGAGUGGGAAACUGAAAAGAAGAAAUACACAAGUCUACAAUUGUAGUUAGAAACAUCCCUCAUCCUUUACUCAACUAUUUGUAAAACAGGUAGAUUUUAAAAGUCAGAAAAUAUGUGGAACACACAUAGCAUCAGCCAAAAAGAUAUAAUUAAUUUCUAUGUUAAACUCUGACUAAAAGAGCAGAAUUCCUUUCAACUACAUCCAAGAUAAACUGUAGUCUGAGAUAUAAAAUGAAAUUCAACAAAUCUCAAAUAACUAAAAUGAUAUGUUUUGCCUCAGCCUACUCAGGUUAUAUUUUAUUCAAGGACCCUUACACAGUAUUCCCUAGAAACUUUAGAGGCAAGACAAGAGAGUGGCAAAUGGUGUUUCUCUUCUCUAAACAUGGCCAGGCUCAGGUAUGCAAGACCUAGUAAAGUCUAAGAACAGAAAAGGAGAAGUGACAGAAAUUCUUAGCACUCUGUCUUCCAAUGAAUGAAAGCAGUCACUGUCUUGUGACUGAAGAAAGAGCUUAAAAAUCCCCCCAGACUGAGUGCAGGUGUGUGGACCCUGCUGUAGAUUGAAGGCAGUGGUGAGCCAAGGAACCCUUUACAGGCACACAAACCCAAAUCUGGAACAAAGCAAGUGAGCUUUUUGUUGAGCUUGCUCUGAAAUUUGAAGACUGUUCUGAAUCGAACUUAACUAACUAUAUGCACAAUUGAGCCCAAAGCUAGCUCAAUAAAAAUAUUCCAACUCAAACUCCACUUUGGUAUUAUGACAUAGCCAGGCAUGCUGGUGUGUGCCUGUGACCCCACCCAGGAAGCUGAAGCACAAGGAUCAUAAUUUUGAGCCUAGCUUGUGUUGCUUGGUAAGAUCCAGUCACAAACAUAGACAAAAUAAAAUAAAAUAAAAUAAAAUAAAAUAAAACAAAAAGGGCAAAGUAAAAAGUAGGCCAGCCUAUGAUUGGAGAUUUGGUGUCCCUCUCUCAGCAGUUGAUGGGAAAAUUGAAUAAUUAGUAAGGAUACAGAAAAUCUAAACAAGAAUAUCAAAAAGUGUCCUGAUAAACUUUUAUAGAACACAGUAUAUCAUAGGAGAAAAACAUACAUUCUUGCCAACACAGGUCAUCAGCUAAACCAUUAAACCAUCAUACAUUGAAAAUAACCAAAAUGAUAGAGUGUGUUCUGUAGUCAGAUCAGCAUUGUUGGGAUUCAAUAACACAUCUUGAAAAUCUCUGAAUAUUUCAAAAUGAAACAGACUUCUAAAUAACUCAAGGGUCAGAGAAGACAUCUCAAAGGAAACAGGAAGCCCAUUAAAUCUUAUCAGCCUUUAUAUCUAAGUGAGAAGGAGAUCAUUGGAUCAUUUCAGAGAGCAGAUUUUAAUGAGUGGAACAGAAAGGAAGGCUCUGGAGACCUGACCCAUCUACAGCUAAAACAAAAAUCACUGAGCAGUUUACAUGACUCAAUUGAAACCUCUAAAAAUAAGAAAAAUUUUGGAAAUGCAUUCCAACACUGAAAAUAGGAAUAACAACCCAUGCAACAUCUUUGUGAAGUUUAAAUGCAGUGUCUGUAAAGCAUACGCCAAGCACAGGGCUUGACCCAUCCCAGUGGAUAUUCAACAAGAGCAGGGUACAUGAGACUGUACCUAGAGCUGUCAGAAACAAGCUGUGUAACUUUGCUGAGUGUCAACCCAACGAACAAAAAGGAAUAUACUAGGUACAUGAAGGGCUUUUGAAUCUACACCUACCUAGCCCAUAAGAGGCAUUUUUAAAGGAUAACUAAAGGAGUUUUUUUUCAAUAAACAAAUAGCCUUUGGAGGGAGCUAGGAGUCGGAAAAAAACUUGUGUUCAUAUUCUUGUGCCUGCUCUCUUAACCAAUGUGUUCAGCUGCUCAAACAAAUAGCAUUUCCACAUCGUUGCUAUUUACAGCCAUAGCCUAAAGCACAAAGAUCAGACUCGGCGUCUGAUUAAACUAAGUUUUAUAAAGAAUGACAAAAUAAUUGGUACAAACAUUUCAGCUUGGGUAUGUAAAACAGAAAAAAACAAAGUAGCAAACGCUCAAAGCACAAUGGAUUGGGAGAACAACACCGUCUCUUCUCGUUGGCAUUUCUCUAGGAUUCAUAUCUUGGCUGAGUGACAAAAACCUGUCCAUCAGCUACAAGCCUGAGCCUAUCAGCCUUACAAAUCAGAGUUAAUAAAAGUCAAUCAGAGAUGGUUUAACUUGCUUGCUACUGCCUGAAGCAGGAUCCAGUCUCAGUGUCUGUCACCCACUUAGAAAACACUUUUCUCUGGCUGCCUAUAAAUUCUUGAAAAUUUACUCAUCUAUAUUUCAGUAGAUAAGAAAAGGUCAUGUCUGUAAAUACAUGUCUGGCCAACACAGGUGUAUAUGAAACCCUUACAGGUAAAUUCUUAAUUAGAAACUUCAUCUCUUACACUUACAGACAUAUAUGAAAAAGCAUCUUUCAGGAACCACUAAGAAUUUGAAGAUCAACCCUUUAGAAUCUUGCUCUACACAUCCAUGUCUCUCAGUAAAAAGGGCACUGACCUCCACUUGUAUGCUAGCUCAUGACAUUUUUAAUAAAUUAAGUGUGUUGAGAUGUAUUCACUGCCCAAAUCCAUUUGAUAAUCCUUACCAAGAUUAAGAUAGUGGUUUUAAAACUCCAAGCCACUAGAGCAAUUGUUGAUUUUGUCAAAUCUAAGUCUUUGACUACAAUACCUACAACAGUAGAAUUUUCUGCCUCAACUCAGAGUUCCUUGCAACCAGGCACAUGUCCAUCAAGUGAUCAGAAGGGUCUCUCAGAAAUACUCUGGGGAAAACAAGAGUCUGGGAGAGUCUACUUCAAUAACUAUGCAUUGGAAACCAGCUCCCUCCCAGCUGCAAGUCCCUUUGUCUUGGCAUCAAAAAUGAAUCCGGAGAUCACAAAGGAAAAAAAAGAAGCUGAGCCAUUUUCUCACUCAUUUAUUCAGCAAACAUGACAAUGAUGUAUCUUCUCUAUCAUGAUUUUAAUAGCAAUAGUAUGUGAGCCACACAGAUAAUUUCAGAUAUUUUUAAAUGUCUACUUACUUUAAACUUAAGUAUAAAUUGAAUAUAAGGUUAGUCGUAUUUUAAAAAGUAAAAAGGAAUUGGUACAAUUAAUUUUUAUAUAGCAUUUAGUUCAAUUCCCUAUGUCCAAAUAUUAUUAUCUCAUUGAAUAGCCAGAAUAAAUGUUCCUUAAAGACAUAUCCUAUCUUACAACUCCUAUCAGUCAUUUUUGAAGUCAUCAUAUCCUUCUGUGGCUAGCGGCUCUCAUACUGAGCAGUAAGGUUUUAACAACAAAGGCACAAGAACAAAAUAAAUGUUUGUCCUGGUGGAUUUAAUGGUUGUACAAAAGACAGGAAAGGGGUGAAGAGAUAGAAAAUGUCAGGUUGUUACCAUGACCUAACAGACCAAAAGUGAUCUGGUUCCAGCAGACUCUCUCAAAUCAUCACCACCAUUACCAUCAUCACCACCAUGACCAAUGUCAUCAGUAUCAACACCAUCAUCAUCAUCAUCAUCAUCAUCAUCAUCACCACCACCACCACCACCACUGCCAGCCCCAUGGUUCUCAGUGCUCCCUGUCUUCUCUGGACACCUAACCUACUCUUUUCUCACUAAGUCUUCCACACCCAUGGAGAGGAUUUCCAUUCUCUCAGAACAUUCUUCCUCAUAAAAUAUAAGACAUUAAAAUACACUAAAACUUUUAAAAAUGUAUAUAGAUAUAGAUACAGACAUAUAGAUAUUGCACAUUGCACACAUUGAAGCAAAACAAAUUAAUGUGUCCAAAUAUUGCAUACAUUUUAUGAAAAUUUAUAUGCAUGUUAUGCAUAUUGAAUUUAUUCAACCAACAUCCCCAUUGUGUAAUUUUUUUCAGCUUGAGGCUUUUAUAUUUGGGUAUUUUUACCCCAGCGUUCAUUCCAAGAGAAAGAAUUGCUGGGUCCCAAACUAGGGGUGCUUUGCAACUUCAGGGACAGAUGUGUAACCCUCUCUCCAACAAAGUUAUCUGGUUUGUCUCUGAUACUGUUAUCCCACUUCAUGGUGUGAGCCACAGCCUCUGUACUGGGUCUCUCAUAGUUCUUCAUUUGAGACAUUGUCAAUAUUUCAUUAUCAUUAGCUGUUUAGCUGAGAAAUAUGGUGUUCCUAUGAUGUUUUAAGGUUUAUUUUUUUUCCAUUUAUUUGCUUCUUUGUGGGAAUAUGCACUUUUCAUGAUUGUGAAAAUGUUUCUUUUUCCUGCAUCCUUAUCUCCGUGUUAUUUUUUCGACUUACAUGUCUCUCAGUAGUAACAAUAAUGAUGCUAAGAGAAGUAAGUUGGCACCACUCUUAUUGUUUUAUGCUUUUGAAGAAAUUUCUGAUUAUCCUCUGUCUAUGCAAUAAGUCCAUCCAUCUUUUGUCGUUAUGAUUUCUACUUUUAUUGUCAUGCAUUGAAAGUCUCUUUCCAGUGUAAAUGAGUCUCCCCCAGUCUUUCCAGCCUCCUUGAAUUGAGAAGCCUCGGGCCAUUGCCCCGCACCAUUCACUCCCAGCAGAGUGCAGAGGAGAUGUUUGUCUGAAGGUCUUAUUCUCUUUCUUCAACUCUCCUUCCUUCCCUUCCCCCAAUCCUAUGACAUUUUAGAGCAAGCUAAACUCCUCUGUGUCACUUCAGGAUCCAGCUCCCCAGAGCAUUAUGACUUGCGGUGCCCCUCAAUCAUCCCAUGCUUGCAAAAAUAUUAGGCAAGUUUUCAGAAAAAGUAAUAGAGAUGGAGAGAGGGUUACAGUAGGAGACAGAGAAACAAACUGAUAACUAGAUAUCUCUCUACUAAUUCUAGUUCUGCUACUAACUACCUGGGUUCUUCUCUCUGGACCCACCACUUCUUACAAGCUGAGUGGGCAACAUAGUGACCCACAGGCUAGCAUUUCUCAUUGGCAGCUGUAAUACUGAUCUUCCUUCCAUUUACUCUUGUAAGAAACAAAUUCCGAAGUACAGAAAAAAUGCUUCAUCUGACCCAAGUUAUGAGUUUUUGGUAUAAAUCAGACUUAGGGAGAAAUGAAAGUUUAACCUUCUGUCAUGGAUUAUGUGGUGAGUAAGAAAACUUCUCAACUACUCAGAAAAUAUUUAUCAAGGAGGAAACAUCAUUAAACAUUGGAAAUUCUAUAUAUGGUGAUCUUUAAACAAGAAAUUUCUUCUAAUUUAGGAAUAUCACAGCUAGUAGAGUGGAUUUUUUUUAACCUAAAUAAGAAACAACAAAAUUUACUAGGCUGAGAAUCGUUGGGAAAAUAUUAAGCUUUUCUUUAUACCAUACCCAAUGAAUAAUGAACUGCUCUACUGGACAUGAACUUAUUUGGGGCUUGAAUUUAUUAGAGCAUUUUUUGAGAGUGGAAUUCCAGGCCAGAAUGUAUCCAUUGGUAACUGAAUAUGAAAGUUGGCUUUCUUUGUCGGGUAUGAGAACUGCCAUCUCUUCUAAAUACAGAACAGAUUUUCCACUUCGUUUUGCAGAAAUGGCUUCCAUGGGAUUUGAUAGCACAAGAAUCAUUCAUUAAUGUAAUUGUCUUCUGUUGAGAAAUUAUGCUUAAUGUUAGUAAUGUGAAGACACUGUCUUAUCAAACAUGAACUGGAGAGUUUCCUGAA